rnacentral:rRNA from 1 species
UACGAAGGGGGCUAGCGUUGCUCGGAAUCACUGGGCGUAAAGGGCGCGUAGGUGGUGGCUUAAGCGUGCGGUGAAAGCUCGGGGCUCAACCCCGAGUCGGCCGUGCGAACUGGGCUCACUGGAGCAUAGUAGAGGCAGGUGGAAUUCCGGGUGUAGCGGUGGAAUGCGCAGAUAUCAGGAAGAACACCCGUGGCUAAGGCGGCUCUCUAGUACGGUACUGACGCUGAGACGCGAAAGCGUGGGGAGCGAACAGG